rnacentral:rRNA from 1 species
UACGUAGGGGGGCAAGCGUUGUCCGGAAUCAUUGGGCGUAAAGCGCGUGUAGGCGGCUCGAUAAGUCCGUUCUGAAAGUCCAGGGCUCAACCCUGGGAUGCGGAUGGAUACUGUCGAGCUCGAGUCCGGAAGAGGCGAGUGGAAUUCCUGGUGUAGCGGUGAAAUGCGCAGAUAUCAGGAGGAACACCAAUGGCGAAGGCAGCUCGCUGGGACGUGACUGACGCUGAGACGCGAAAGCGUGGGGAGCAAACAGG